GGCGGCAGGCCUAACACAUGCAAGUCGAGCGGUAACAUUUCUAGCUUGCUAGAAGAUGACGAGCGGCGACGGGUGAGUAACGCGUAGAAAUCUACCUAGUAGUGGGGGAUAGCCCAGAGAAAUUUGGAUUAAUACCGCAUACGCCCUACGGGGGAAAGCGGGGGAUCUUCGGACCUCGUGCUAUUAGAUGAGUCUGCGUCGGAUUAGCUUGUUGGUGAGGUAAUGGCUCACCAAGGCGACGAUCCGUAGCUGGUCUGAGAGGAUGACCAGCCACACUGGAACUGAGACACGGUCCAGACUCCUACGGGAGGCAGCAGUGGGGAAUAUUGCACAAUGGGCGCAAGCCUGAUGCAGCCAUGCCGCGUGUGUGAAGAAGGCCUUAGGGUUGUAAAGCACUUUCAGCAGUGAGGAAAGGGGUGUCGUUAAUAGCGCCAUCCUGUGACGUUAGCUGCAGAAGAAGGACCGGCUAACUCCGUG
rnacentral:rRNA from 1 species